GUUUCUGACUGCUAAGACAUGAUUCUGGCCUUCACCUAAAGCAUGUAUCUAGCAAUCUCAAGGUGUUGAGUGACAGAAGAGAUAAUGGCUGACAUGAGAGCAACGGAGCAGCGUGGCAGUCGUUCAAGCUUAACCAACCUUCUGGACAUUCUGGUUUGGAGCACUCAGCUACCAGUUCUACAUAACAAAUUUCUCUCAAGGUACCACUGAAAGAACAGAGGUAAUGCUCAUAUGCUGCAAUGUUGUAUUAUUAAUGUAAACAGAUUUGCAAUUGUAUUUUGUUGAUUCAUAUGUUUUGGUUAUACUUUGAAGAUUCCAUGUAGGAGAUAUAAUUUUUUAUUUAUUGAGAGUUGUAGAUAGGCAGGCUAUAGUUAUGACUAUAGGGGAAUAGCUUCGAGCAUUCUAUACUGCCAUGAGUUUUGGGCCAAAUGCUGUAAUUUUAUCAGAUCCUUGUGAUAUAAUAAGAUCAUGUUACUUUAAUGUUCCUGGAGCAACAUUCUUGUAGUACAAACUUCAAUUUCAGAAAUUUUCGUUGAACUUGGAUGUU